rnacentral:rRNA from 1 species
GACGAACCGUGCGAACGUUGUUCGGAAUCACUGGGCUUAAAGGGCGCGUAGGCGGGCUGCCGAGUCUGGGGUGAAAUCCCACGGCUCAACCGUGGAACUGCCUCGGAUACUGGCGGCCUCGAGGGAGGUAGGGGCGUGCGGAACUGUGGGUGGAGCGGUGAAAUGCGUUGAUAUCCACAGGAACUCCGGUGGCGAAAGCGGCGCGCUGGACCUCUUCUGACGCUGAGGCGCGAAAGCUAGGGGAGCAAACGGG